rnacentral:lncRNA from 1 species
UGUGUUUCAGUGAUCAUUAUGUUUCUGGGGAUAUUAAGCUAUAUGUGGCUCAAAAUUGUGGAGUACCAAUUCUCAGCAAUUCGAACAAGGACUGUUCCGCAGAAUUUUGGGUAUCCCAUGGAAGGCCCUGCUAGUCAUGUUGAACGGUACAUGGUAACUGUCGCAGCCCCACCAGAUGACAUCACUGCUGAAGAAGUUUAGGAUGCUAUGCUAUCCUAUCAAGAAAUAAGGAUUGUAACUCGCGGCCAAUAAAUCUAUCUGAAGCCUAAGUUGCAAUACCACAGAGCAAAUGCAUGUGAUCUAGAAAAGAUUACGUAGCUCUCAUACUAGAACAUCUUGAAAAUGUAAUAGACUAUACAAUUGUAAUACAGGGAUGCUAAGCACAAACAAUACUGAAAAACAUGAAAAGGCAUUAACAAUUGAAGAUGACGUGAAUAAGAACAAAAUUAUUUGAAAAAAAGAAGUCAUUAAAAAUAUCACAAUUUAAUACUGAGCUAACGGCUACAUCACCAUAUACCAUUCAUCACAUUUCAAAUUCAUUUCUCGAAUUGUUUGAGGUUUCCAGUGAAAUUGAAACUGACUAGUUUAACUCAUCAGCCAACAACGGAGAACGGUUUCAUACCUUGGGAUAUGGAUUUGGCGAUAACGAGCAAAGUGAAAUUAAUCUUAUCUGCACGCUCUGCUGCAUUUGUACGGAGCAACGCUUUUUCAAAUUGAAACAAUAAUAACCUACUCCAUAUUUUUAAGAAAAUCAUCACACAAGACCAGCAGGAUUUGUCAACGGUGACGUCUGAAUUCAGUCAUUCACUAAGAAAUUGAGAGAUGAAGAUCGCCAUCCUCGACGAUCGAGAUAUUAAUUGUAAUUAGUGC